GGGGGUCGCGAUGAGUAAUGCCUAGGAAUCUGCCUGGUAGUGGGGGACAACGUUUCGAAAGGAACGCUAAUACCGCAUACGUCCUACGGGAGAAAGCAGGGGACCUUCGGGCCUUGCGCUAUCAGAUGAGCCUAGGUCGGAUUAGCUAGUUGGUGAGGUAAUGGCUCACCAAGGCGACGAUCCGUAACUGGUCUGAGAGGAUGAUCAGUCACACUGGAACUGAGACACGGUCCAGACUCAUACGGGAGGCAGCAGUGGGGAAUAUUGGACAAUGGGCGAAAGCCUGAUCCAGCCAUGCCGCGUGUGUGAAGAAGGUCUUCGGAUUGUAAAGCACUUUAAGUUGGGAGGAAGGGUUGUAGAUUAAUACUCUGCAAUUUUGACGUUACCGACAGAAUAAGCACCGGCUAACUCUGUGCCAGCAGCCGCGGUAAUACAGAGGGUGCAAGCGUUAAUCGGAAUUACUGGGCGUAAAGCGCGCGUAGGUGGUUCGUUAAGUUGGAUGUGAAAUCCCCGGGCUCAACCUGGGAACUGCAUUCAAAACUGUCGAGCUAGAGUAUGGUAGAGGGUGGUGGAAUUUUUCU
rnacentral:rRNA from 1 species